UACGUAGGGUGCAAGCGUUGUCCGGAUUUAUUGGGCCUAAAGCAUCCGUAGCCGGUUCUACAAGUCUUCCGUUAAAUCCACCUGCUUAACAGAUGGGCUGCGGAAGAUACUAUGGAGCUAGGAGGCGGGAGAGGCAAGCGGUACUCGAUGGGUAGGGGUAAAAUCCGUUGAUCCAUUGAAGACCACCAGUGGCGAAGGCGGCUUGCCAGAACGCGCUCGACGGUGAGGGAUGAAAGCUGGGGGAGCAAACCGG
rnacentral:rRNA from 1 species